CAUUACUGAUUUCUUUCUACAGCAUUCAGAUGUUUCUGGUUAUGACCUAACCAAACUUGGCAGGAUUACACUCAAUGACUUGUUUAUGCAAACAGAACAGAAACUUCCAAAUCAGAAAGUACGCAUAUCAAUCAUUAUGGAAUAUCGACAUUUAUUUUAGGAAUGAAGUUUGUGGAUGGAUGAAACUUUUGGAAUAACCUAUGGCUUGAUUUAUUGUUAUUUCUCAUAAAUUACUGGAUGCAUAGUUUUAGACUUCAACAGAAAUGAACACUACAACACAUGACAAAGUUUAUAUAAUGUUUAUAUUUAUCAAUAACUUCUUGUCAUUUUUGAUACAGUAGCACCCCUUGGUCUGUUAGGGUUCUGGUUGUUUUUCAAGUCAAUACCUCAAGAGACCAUUGAGAGGGGAGGUGUAGACUUAAAAUGUUUUAUAAUAAUCAAAAUAAUUCAAAUUAGACAGAAUAUCAGAUUAUUUCAGUGGGAACCUCACCCGCUCCAUUCUCUCUCUUUCCUUUUUGCUGGUCUUCCCUUAAUUGUUAAUUCUUUUUCCACGUUUCCUCUUUAAGUUGAAGACCUCAGUUUAUCUAUCAAUUAGUGAAUUCACUUUUACUGUUCGUAGCCCGGCCACUGAGGCGUUAACUGCUGAUACCCUUCUUACUCUCCUUUGUAGGCUGGCUUAUGUUUUGUUUUAUAGCAGUAUAAAUUUAGAUGGCAUUUAUUUUCCCAACUUAAUGUUGUUUUACUAAUUUUAGAUUAGAGGCUUUCUUUUGUGUUUUUUGAGGUUUGUUUAAAACUAAUUUUGGUUUAGUGUGUUAAGUAUUUGUUUUAGGGUGGGUGCUCCUUCUCUUUCUCAGCUUUUUUGCUUUUGGUUGGUAUUUUUAGUAUGUUUAAAAAGAUUUAGAUCAGGGUUCUC